GUUGAACGUGGAAUCGCCAUCGCUCAACGGAUAAUAGGUACUCUGGGGAUAACAGGCUUAUCGGACUCGAGAGUUCACAUCGACAGUCCGGUUUGGCACCUCGAUGUCGGCUCAUCCUAUCCUGGGGCUGUAUAAGGUCCCAAGGGUCCGGCUGUUCGCCGGUUAAAAGGGUACGCGAGCUGGGUUCAGAACGUCGUGAGACAGUGAGAUGACCGUUGCUGUCUUUAAAUCUGACUAAUUGCUGGAAAAACCGAGUAUGUCAAAGUACCGAAAGGUGACAAUCUUUGACUGCGGUUAAUCAGCAGGAAAGACUCUGGAAAAACUUUCAGAGAAUCUUCAGAGACUGUAUGUCGGAAUCAGUGUUAAGCUGAUAAGAUACAGUCCGAACUGCAUAGCGAUAUGCAGAGAUCAGCAGAAAUGUUGAUCCGUCGCAAAAAUGCGAUUGUAACAUUAUUGUCGGUCUCUAUCUGAUGUGGGCGUAGGAUACUUGAAGGGGAGUUCUCUUCAGUACGAGAGGACCUAGAGAAACGAACCUCUGGUUUUCCGGUUGUCCUGCCAAGGGCAAAGGCCGGGUAGCUAUGUUCGGAAGGGAUAAGCGCUGAAAGCAUCUAAGUGCCAAGCCCACCCCAAGAAUAAGUAUCCCCAUUAGGCUGGUCGUAGACUACGACCUUGAUAGGCGCAAUGUGUAAGGUCCGUAAGGAUUUUAGCUAAUGCGUACUAAUCAGCCGAUUGGCUUGGCCUUUUUUAAUU
rnacentral:rRNA from 1 species